CGAGAAUCUUCGGCAAUGGGCGCAAGCCUGACCGAGCGACGCCGCGUGCGGGAUGAAGGCCUUCGGGUUGUAAUCCGCUGUCGUAGGGGAAGAAAUGAUCAUGGGUUCUCCCAUGGUUUUGACUGAUCCUAGGAGGAAGUGCAGGCUAACCUCGUGCCAGCAGCCGCGGUAAGACGAGGUGCACAAACGGUAUUCGGCUUUACUGGGCUUAAAGCGUGCGUAGGCGGCCGGGCAAGUUGGGGGGGAAA
rnacentral:rRNA from 1 species